GCGGGUGUAGUUCAAUGGUAGAACUUCAGCCUUCCAAGCUGAUAGCGUGGGUUCGAUUCCCAUCACCCGCUUCA
rnacentral:tRNA from 6 species